UUUUUUUUUUUACACUGAACCAAAUUCUGUAUAAGAAAUCAGCAUAGCCAAGGGGCGCCUGGGUGGCUCAGUCGGUUAAGCAUCCGACUUCAGCUCAGGUCACGAUCUCACGGUCCGUGAGUUCGAGCCCCGCGUUGGGCUCUGGGCUGAUGGCUCAGAGCCUGGAGCCUGCUUCCGAUUCUGUGUCUCCCUCUCUCUCUGCCCCUCCCCUGUUCAUGCUCUGUCUCUCUCUGUCUCAAAAAUAAAUAAACGUUAAAAAAAAAAAAAA